UGCAAGUCGAGCGGACAGAAGGGAGCUUGCUCCCGGAUGUUAGCGGCGGACGGGUGAGUAACACGUGGGUAACCUGCCUGUAAGACUGGGAUAACUCGGAAACCGGAGCUAAUACCGGAUAGUUCCUUGAACCGCAUGGUUCAAGGAUGAAAGACGGUUUCGGCUGUCACUUACAGAUGGACCCGCGGCGCAUUAGCUAGUUGGUGAGGUAACGGCUCACCAAGGCGACGAUGCGUAGCCGACCUGAGAGGGUGAUCGGCCACACUGGGACUGAGACACGGCCCAGACUCCUCGGGAGGCAGCAGUAGGGAAUCUUCCGCAAUGGACGAAAGUCUGACGGAGCAACGCCGCGUGAGUGAUGAAGGUUUUCGGAUCGUAAAGCUCUGUUGUUAGGGAAGAACAAGUGCAAGAGUAACUGCUUGCACCUUGACGGUACCUAACCAGAAAGCCACGGCUAACUACGUGCCAGCAGCCGCGGUAAUACGUAGGUGGCAAGCGUUGUCCGGAAUUAUUGGGCGUAAAGGGCUCGCAGGCGGUUUCUUAAGUCUGAUGUGAAAGCCCCCGGCUCAACCGGGGAGGGUCAUUGGAAACUGGGAAACUUGAGUGCAGAAGAGGAGAGUGGAAUUCCACGUGUAGCGGUGAAAUGCGUAGAGAUGUGGAGGAACACCAGUGGCGAAGGCGACUCUCUGGUCUGUAACUGACGCUGAGGAGCGAAAGCGUGGGGAGCGAACAGGAUUAGAUACCCUGGUAGUCCACGCCGUAAACGAUGAGUGCUAAGUGUUAGGGGGUUUCCGCCCCUUAGUGCUGCAGCUAACGCAUUAAGCACUCCGCCUGGGGAGUACGGUCGCAAGACUGAAACUCAAAGGAAUUGACGGGGGCCCGCACAAGCGGUGGAGCAUGUGGUUUAAUUCGAAGCAACGCGAAGAACCUUACCAGGUCUUGACAUCCUCUGACAACCCUAGAGAUAGGGCUUUCCCUUCGGGGACAGAGUGACAGGUGGUGCAUGGUUGUCGUCCUCGUGUCGUGAGAUGUUGGGUUAAGUCCCGCAACGAGCGCAACCUGAUCUUAGUUGCCAGCAUUUAGUUGGGCACUCUAAGGUGACUGCCGGUGACAAACCGGAGGAAGUGGGGAUGACGUCAAAUCAUCAGCCCCU
rnacentral:rRNA from 1 species